UACGAAGGGUGCAAGCGUUACUCGGAAUUACUGGGCGUAAAGCGUGCGUAGGUGGUUCGUUAAGUCUGUCGUGAAAGCCCCGGGCUCAACCUGGGAAUGGCGAUGGAUACUGGCGAGCUAGAGUGCGGUAGAGGGUGGUGGAAUUCCCGGUGUAGCAGUGAAAUGCGUAGAGAUCGGGAGGAACAUCAGUUGCGAAGGCGGCCACCUGGACCAGCACUGACACUGAGGCACGAAAGCGUGGGGAGCAAACAGG
rnacentral:rRNA from 1 species